CCAUUAAGAAGACAGCCAUUAUUUCUUUUUCUACUUUUUCAGCACGGAGGACUUCUUCAACCGCGGCGCCCACUCACUGAGGCCCGCUCCCCACAAUGGUGGUGUCGUCAACAAUAGUGGUGUCGACAAGGGUGGUGUCGACAAUAGCUGGGUUUGUCAAGCACACAUGCGACCUUCCAACAAUGAAGCAACUUGAAGCCCAACAUGACUCAGGUUUUUACGCCAAUAUUACUAUUUGCCUGUUACACACUCCUUGGGUUCUGUUUUAGAAGAACUUGCAAAAGUACUUUCAUUCCAAGUGGGAAGAUAAAUAAAGUCAUAGACAAUGA